rnacentral:rRNA from 1 species
AGAGUUUGAUCAUGGCUCAGGAUAAACGCUGGCGGCGCACAUAAGACAUGCAAGUCGAACGGACUUAACCAUUAGUUUACUAUUGGGGCGGUUAGUGGCGGACUGGUGAGUAACACGUAAGCAACCUGCCUGUUAGAGGGGAACAACAGUUAGAAAUGACUGCUAAUACCGCAUAUGCCUUAGUUAUCGCAUGAUAAUAGAGGGAAAGGAGCAAUCCGCUAACAGAUGGGCUUGCGUCUGAUUAGAUAGUUGGUGUGGUAACGGCAUACCAAGUCGACGAUCAGUAGCCGG